UGGGGAAUAUUGGACAAUGGGCGAAAGCCUGAUCCAGCCAUGCCGCGUGUGUGAAGAAGGUCUUCGGAUUGUAAAGCACUUUAAGUUGGGAGGAAGGGCAGUAAGCGAAUACCUUGCUGUUUUGACGUUACCGACAGAAUAAGCACCGGCUAACUCUGUGCCAGCAGCCGCGGUAAUACAGAGGGUGCAAGCGUUAAUCGGAAUUAAUGGGCGUAAAGCACGCGUAGGUGGGUCGUUAAGUUGAAUGUGAAAGCCCCGGGCUCAACCUGGGAGCUGCAUCCUAAACGGGCGAGUUAGAGUAGGGCAGAGGGUGGUUGAAGUUCCUGUGGAGGGGUGAAAUGCGUAGAUAAAAGAAGGAACACCAGUGGCGAAGGCGACCGCCUGAGCUCAUACUGACUCUGAGGUGCGAAAGCGUGGGGAGCAAACAGG
rnacentral:rRNA from 1 species